UUUAGAUUCUGUCAUCGGGAGUUCCUUAUCCUUCCUCGCACCGGUGACACAACUUUGAUGAUUGACGGCUGGAAGACUCCUCCUAAAAAAGAUUCGGCUGCACCACUGAGAGCAUCUUGACUGGCUGUACCACUGAGAGCAUCUUGACUGGCUGCACCACUGAGAGCAUCUUGACUGGCUGCCCCACUGAGAACAUCUUGACUGGCUGCACCACUGAGAGCAUAUUGACUGGCUGCACCACUGAGAGCAUCUUGACUGGCUGCAUCACCGCUUGGUACGGCAACUGCAAGGCAACCGACCCGGAAGGUGCUACAGAAGGUGGUGAGCUCGGGCACCAGUACAUAAAACUCUUAACAACUCAUACCCCUUUUGAGAUGUUGGUCAGAUGGCGAGAAGCCAAACUGGUGAAACACGUCUCUCUCUCUCUGAAGUGGUUGAAUUUGUGUCUCAUAUGGAACUCAGAGUUCCUGCAGAUCCUUUGUUGCCACUGGUAACAUCACAAGGUCACUGAAUUCAGCAUGAAUACUCUGUUACCACGUGUGUGUUUACGUGGUGUGUUUAAAAAAGGAAUAUCCCCUCUGCCAGAAGAACAAUAAAACUGCUGACCAGAUAGACACCUUGGGAAUAUCCUCCCAUAAAAUUGGACAUCCUUGACAGCCCUUUAAAAAAAUAUAUAUAUCUGCCUGUCUUUGUUUAUAGACCCUUAUUGUUCUGUGUGUGUGAAGGAGACGUACCUCUACCAAGGCGUCAAAUCGGGUUAUGACCCUAAAGGUCCAGCCAUCUACAUAUCCUCUGUGGUGUGAGCAGGCAGGGUCAUUCCUCCUAUGAUCUCACUGUUCCCAGUUUAUUGGGGUCUCCUUUGACUAACCGCAGGGGCCACUGAAGUGUUUCGGUUCCAGCUAAGGGUGAAAUCCUAUCUUGUAAUUUGCUUUGUCAAACCAUAAAACUGAAUAAACACUGUAUGUCUUUAA